GAGAGAGACAUGCGCGCAUAUCAAUAAGCGGAGAAAAGAAACUAACAAGGAUUCCCUUAGUAACGGCGAGUGAAGCGGGAAGAGCUCAAAUUUGAAAUCUCCAAGGUUUUACCUUGACGAAUUGUAGUUUAAAGAAGUGUUUUCUGCUGAAGUUUUGGUAAAAGUUCUUUGGAAUAGGACAUCAUAGAGGGUGAGAAUCCCGUAUUUGACCAUUAUUUUCAGCUUUGUGAUACACUUUCAAAGAGUCGGAUUGUUUGGGAAUGCAGUCCAAAAUGGGUGGUAAAUUUCAUCUAAAGCUAAAUAUUGGCGAGAGACCGAUAGCGAACAAGUACCGUGAGGGAAAGAUGAAAAGAACUUUGAAAAGAGAGUUAAACAGUACGUGAAAUUGUCAAAAGGGAAGCGUUUGACACCAGUGUUGUUUUCUCGAAAAUCAAGUUAAAAAUGGCUCGAUUUUGUAUUGCUUGAGACCUUAAAAGCUCACUGUACAUUUUUCGUGUCUUUUUUAAUGCACUUUUCGUUUAACAAGUCAACAUCAGUUUCUUUUGUUGUAAAAGGGUCAUUGGAAGGUGGCUUUCUUUUCGGAGAAAGUGUUUAUAGCCUUUGGCCUCUGCAAUCGGAGAGACUGAGGUCUGCAGCGUAGACUCUUCGGGGUUAGAUACAUUUGCUGCUAAGUUAUAGCUUUUUAUAGACAACUUGUUGACUAUAAUUAGUCUUGUAGCUUACUCGCUUAUGCUAUUUUACCUACGCUUAGGAUGUUGAGUCGUAGAGCACGCAG
rnacentral:rRNA from 1 species